AGGUUUGACGCCCACCGUUCGACACUGUCAGUUCCUGCCUUGGUUUUUUGUUUUGUCUCAAAGCAGAAGCAAAACAGCCUAAACUUGCGUGCCAACUCUAUCUUCCUCCAGCUGUGGAUCUGUCACUUUCUAUUUUAUCCAAAAACCGAGAGAAAAAACCUCUCCUUUCCAUCACCAUGGCCCUUCUCUCUAAGUUUCGAGAUGAAACUGACAAAAGUGCCAAGAGUUCUUAUUUCAACUUACCACCCUUGGAUGUUUCGGUUGCAUUCCCUCAAGCAACUCCCGCAUCUACUUUUCCUCCUCCUGCUUCCGACUAUUAUCAAUUUGAUGAUCUAUUGAGUCCUGAGGAGCAGGCGAUCCGUAAGAAAGUAAGAGAGUGUAUGGAAAAAGAAGUAGCUCCUGUGAUGACAGAGUAUUGGGAGAAAGCGGAGUUUCCAUUCCAAAUUGUUCCAAAACUUGCUGCUCUUCGUAUUGCUGGUGGUACUAUCAAGGGUUAUGGAUGCCCUGGUCUUUCCAUCACUGGAAGUGCUAUAUCUACUGCAGAGGUCGCUAGAGUUGAUGCAAGCUGCUCAACUUUUAUCUUGGUUCAUUCAUCUCUAGCCAUGCUUACUAUUGCAUUAUGCGGAUCAGAGGAACAGAAGCAGAAGUAUUUACCUUCUUUGGCACAACUCAAAACUAUAGCUUGUUGGGCUUUGACUGAGCCUGACUAUGGAAGUGAUGCUAGUGCUCUGAAGACAACGGCAACAAAGGUAAAGGGAGGUUGGAUGCUUGAGGGACAAAAGCGAUGGAUAGGGAACAGUACUUUUGCAGAUGUGUUGGUUAUUUUUGCCAGGAAUACCACAACCAAUCAGAUAAACGGAUAUCUAGUUAAGAAGGAUUCCCCUGGAUUGACAGCUACAAAAAUUGCAAACAAGAUUGGGUUGAGAAUUGUUCAAAAUGGAGAUAUUCUUUUAAAGAAAGUCUUUGUUCCUGAUGAGGACAGGUUACCCGGUGUAAACUCUUUUCAGGAUACAAGCAAGGUACUGGCUGUUUCGCGAGUAAUGGUUGCAUGGCAGCCUAUUGGCAUAUCGAUGGGUGUCUAUGACAUGUGUCAGAGGUAUCUGAAGGAGAGGAAACAGUUCGGAGCACCAUUGGCAGCCUUCCAAAUUAACCAGCAGAAACUUGCUCUCAUGCUAGGUAAUGUUCAAGCAAUGACCCUAGUUGGUUGGCGCCUUUGCAAAUUGUAUGAGGGGGGUAAAAUGACUCCCGGUCAAGCCAGCUUGGGAAAGUCAUGGAUUACCUUGAAGGCAAGAGAAACAGUCUCUCUCGGGCGGGAGUUACUCGGCGGCAACGGAAUCUUGGCUGAUUUUCUUGUUGCAAAGGUUUUCCAUUCUCUGCUUUCAACACAAAAAUCACUUUCUCACUUCUUCCUGCUAAAUAGUAACAUAUUGGAUUAGCUCUAGGUUAGACCAGAAUGCAACUUGGGAACAUAAUCCAAACCAGAGAACCCAAUAGUCUAUGCUUUCAGCAUUCUGUGAUUUGGAGCCCAUUUAUACAUAUGAAGGCACUUAUGACAUCAACAGCUUGGUCACUGGUAGGGAAAUUACUGGUUUUGCCAGUUUUAAGCCAGCCGCACUGAGCCAGCGCAGCCGCCUUUGAUCGUGUAAACCUCCUUCCUGGACUCUGUAUAAGGUCUAAAACAAAGUCGAUAAACUUCUCACAGAAAGUUAAAUAAGUUCAGUGCCUUUGCACAAUUGUAAUAAUAAAAGAAAUAGUGCAAAUAUUUCUGCCAUUGCUUGCUUAAUGCUCACGUAAAUCAGCCUUUUUAUUC